UAAAAUAAUUAAGGGCACACAAAGGAUGCCUAGGUAGUAAGAGCCGAUGAAGGACGUGGUAAGCUGCGAUAAGCCUAGAUAAGUUGCAAUCGAACGUAAGAGUCUAGGAUUUCCGAAUGGAGCAAUCUAUUAAGAUGGAGUCUUAAUACGAAAGAGGGAACCGCGUGAACUGAAACAUCUAAGUAACGCGAGGAAAAGAAAGUAAAAACGAUACCCAAAGUAGCGGCGAGCGAAAUGGGUCAAGCCUAAACCUUAAAUAUGUCAAGGAUACAGCCGUUGUAUUUAAGGGGUUGAGGGACAGAGUAGUGAAGAACUGUAAGAUAUUCAAUAUAGUGUAUUGAUGAAUUGGAAUUGUCUGGAAAGGCGAACCGUAGAAGGUGAAAGUCCUGUACAAGUAAAUCCUUACACAUAUAACUCUGCUCCCAAGUAACAUGGAACACGAGGAAUUCUGUGUGAAUCUGUGAGGACCAUAUCUCAUAAGGCUAAAUACUCUUACUAACCGAUAGCGCAUAGUACCGUGAGGGAAAGGUGAAAAGAACCCCUGGAGGGGAGUGAAAUAGAACCUGAAAUUGUGUGCUUACAAGCGGUCAGAGCCAGCAAUGGUGAUGGCGUGCCUUUUGGAGAAUGAUCCUGCGAGUUACGUUAAACGGCGAGGUUAAGUAUAACGGAGCCGAAGGGAAACCAAGUCUUAAUAGGGCGAUUUAGUCGUUUGGCGUAGACGCGAAACCUGGUGAUCUAAACCUGUCCAGGAUGAAGCUGUGGUAAGACACAGUGGAGGUCCUAACCCACCGCCGUUGAAAAGUUGGGGGAUGAGGUAGGUUUAGGGGUGAAAAGCCAAUCGAACCAGGAGAUAGCUCGUUCUCUCCGAAAUGCAUCUAGGUGCAGCCUUGAGUGUUCAAUUAUGGGGGUAGAGCACUGAAUGAUCUAGGGGGCGUAUUGCUUACUGAAAUCAAUCAAACUCCGAAUACCAUAAUUUAGAGCUCAGGAGUGAGACUAUGGGAGUUAACUUCCAUUGUCGAAAGGGAAACAACCCAGACCACCAGCUAAGGUCCCUAAUUAUAACUAAGUGGGAAAGGAGGUGGAGAUUCACAAACAACUAGGAGGUUGGCUUAGAAGCAGCCAUACCUUUAAAGAGUGCGUAAUAGCUCACUAGUCGAGAGUCUCUGCGCCGACAAUGUAACGGGGCUAAGUUAUAAACCGAAGCUGUGGAAUCCGUUUGGAUUGGUAGGAGAGCGUUCUGUAGGCCGUUGAAGAAGAAGGGUAACCAACUUUGGAGGUAUCAGAAGUGAGAAUGCAGGAAUAAGUAGCGAGAAAGGGGGCGAGAAUCCCCCUCGCCGGAAGACCAAGGUUUUCAGGGUAAAGCUUGUCUUCCCUGAGUAAGCCGGGACCUAAGCCCAGGCUAUAAUGCGUAGGCGAAUGGAAAACAGAUUAAUAUUUCUGUGCCAGUCAUAUAUUGUGAUGGAGGGACGCAGAAGGGUAUGCGCGCGGACGAACGGAAGUGUCCGUAGAAGUAUGUAGGAUGACUUGAUAGGUAAAUCCAUUGAGUUAUAUCUGAGGUAUGAUAUACAGUCGUAAGAUGAAUGUGCAAAUCCCACGCUGCCAAGAAAAGCUUCUAACGUUAAUAUUUGACUGCCCGUACUGUAAACCGACACAGGUGGUCAGGAUGAGAAAUCUAAGGCGGACAGGCUAACUCUCGUUAAGGAACUCUGCAAAAUAACCUCGUAACUUCGGGAGAAGAGGAGCCCUUGGGUGUUAGUAUCCAUGCGUUACAAAGCACUCGAGGGUCGCAGUGAAGAGGCUCAAGCAACUGUUUAACAAAAACACAGGUCUAUGCUAAGCUGUAAGGCGAUGUAUAUGGGCUGACACCUGCCCAGUGCUGGAAGGUUAAGAGGAGGAGUGAGAGCUCCGAAUUGAAGCCCCAGUGAACGGCGGCCGUAACUAUAACGGUCCUAAGGUAGCGAAAUUCCUUGUC
rnacentral:rRNA from 1 species